GGAUGCGAUCAUACCAGCACUAAAGCACCGGAUCCCAUCAGAACUCCGAAGUUAAGCGUGCUUGGGCGAGAGUAGUACUAGGAUAGGUGACCUCUUGGGAAGUCCUCGUGUUGCAUUCCC
rnacentral:rRNA from 2 species